GGAGCUUUGAAUGGUUUUCUUUGUUGUUUCUUUCCCUUCACUGUGUCUCCAGUGGAGCUGCCUUCACCUCUCUUUCGCUUUUGUUUCCUUAUCUCUGCUUCGUUUGGUAUUGGGAACCUUGUAGUUGGAUCUGCUUCAUUUUGUGUGCCUUCAUUGAUCACAACUGAUUGUGACCCUCCAAGCUGUAAUCAGAAUGCAUUUACUCUCAGCAAUGGUUCUUGAAAUCAUAAAAAUCAGUUGUAAACUUACACUAAAUAAUAGAUAAACUUACAUUUAGUAUCUGCUUUCCUGUCUCCAUCUUGACAUAUAGACCAAUUCCCCUAACUUGACCUUUCUUCUUCUUGCCAAUGUUUGUGGAUGUUGAA
rnacentral:lncRNA from 1 species